GAGACAUUUGGAGUCAGAAAGAGAAGGAUGGCUCUUCCACAUGAGAGGGGACUCCAAACUCCAGAGAGGUGGUGGCAGGGGGGGGAAAUAAACUCAAGAGGAAGAAAGAGGGGUCCAGUAAUGAGAGGGGAGUUCAAGGUCGUGUUGAGGAGUGAGGAGGAUUGUCCGUCCCAAAGACAAAAGAGACUUCCUUGGAGUUCAGAGUCUUUUUAUCAGUGUGUGUGUGAGCUGAGUGGGUGGUAGAUACAUUGAACGGAUGGUGGGGGGGCGGAUUCAAAUUCAAAUGGGCUCACUCUGUGGUCCGGCUGUGUCAAAUCUACAAGUUCAGUUGUAAUGAACUGGAAUGUGAAUGAAGUGCAUUCAAGAUGUAUUGUGUGGCGUUCAAGAGUGCAGACUUGAAAACCUUUAAGGGUGGUGUGACUCCAUCUCCCACAUGCAAGCAGGGACCCCAUAAGAGCACCUCAAACAUGCCCCCGCCCCUGGAUUUUUUUUUAAGUUUCCAGGAAAGUGAAAAUGUUGCGUUCAAGUGACUCCUUCACGGAGCUCAUCGUGGAAUUUGGGCAAAGUUGUACAGUGUUUUUGGCAGUGAGCGUGGAGGCGGGGCGGCUCAUGUCCGAGACUCCGCUAAAAUAAACCUGCAUGAGGGAGGAGAGCGCAGGGAGGGAGGCGAGGAGGAAGCAGCGGGGACAGGAGGGAAACACGCUCCGCUUUAACGGCAGGAAAAAACUGCGCAGUUUCUUUGCGGAGUCCCGGAUCCUUCCUCUGGGUGUCCGUGUGUUUCCGGGAUCCGUGGAUGGAUUGUUUGAAGGCCAACUCAGGGAUGAGGUGUUUGCACCUCCACGCAGCUAAGGAUUUUUUUUUUUUUUUUUGGGAGGGGGGCUCCAAAGUGUCUGCGUCAUCCACGGCCAACCAUGAAGAUGGACCGCUUCACCUCCUUUUCUGCUCAGAAACAUUAAGGUGAGGACAUGCCUCAUGGAGAGGCGCCUCCAUUGAAAACAGCAGAAACGUUUCCCCGCAUCAGGAUUACCGGCGUUGACCAAACUGUGCGGGGAACCCGGGAAAAUGUUGCGGGUUAUGUAAUUAUCCCCACUAACUUUACGUCUUUGGGAUUUUGGAGCCGAAUCGGGGAGCUGCGGGUGUCACGUCAUUUUACGGCAGGAAAAGGAGUUUACAGGAACGAGCUGCUGAUGUCGCAAUCGGCUCGUGUUGUGGCUCACGCGCCGCUAUCAAAAUCUCCCCCGUGGGUGUGUGAUGCGCCGCGGCCAACCGCCAAGGUGUCGGGGGGCGAGAGAGCGGCCUUCCGCCUGGAACGCGUUUUGGUGGAAGUUGUGUGCUUUUUUUUCCCUUUUUCUUUUUUUGAAGUGUCAUGCGGGGAAAUUGUGGCGGGUUCGUUGCCGUUUCCAGGAAGAGCGUUUGAAUUUUUUUUCCCUGUGAUUUUUUUUUCUGUCUCCACCCCUCUUGCUGCACGAGGCGCACUUCUACUUUUUGCCACAAGAUGGGGGCCGAGGACAACAGAUUACGCUAAUAUGACAUCACCCAUCGGUCAAGAAACUUCCGGGACACUUCCAGAGUACUGGAUCUUGGAAUCUGGAGCCAUCUCCCUAAUUCCUAACUACUAAAAAACGACAUAGUGUGGGAUUAUCCAGUGAGAUGGAUUUUAAAAGCGAUUCAUACACAAUGCUCAUUACUUUUUGUUUUUAACUGCGAAUAUCAAAACACUUAGCAAUACAAGCACUUUACAAAGAUUAUUUAUGAAUUCACUCUGUUCUGAUGAAGAAAAUAUGGAUGUUUUUUU